rnacentral:rRNA from 1 species
UACGUAGGGGGCAAGCGUUGUCCGGAAUCAUUGGGCGUAAAGAGCGUGUAGGUGGCUCGGUAAGGCCGCUGUGAAAGUCCAGGGCUCAACCCUGGAAAGCCGGUGGAAACUGUCGAGCUCGAGUCCGGAAGAGGCGAGUGGAAUUCCUGGUGUAGCGGUGAAAUGCGCAGAUAUCAGGAGGAACACCAAUGGCGAAGGCAGCUCGCUGGGACGGUACUGACACUGAGACGCGAAAGCGUGGGGAGCAAACGGG